AUCAGAGCACCUAAGGACACUUGAGCCACCACUCCUACUAAUCAUUAAUACCUGCAAGUUACUCAUACGAAGAGCAACAUUUUCAAGCAGAAGGGGUGAGAUUUCACAAAACAAUAAUAUCAAGCAUAUAAUUCAAUAAUUAUAUUUAACAACACAAAUAACUUCAUCUAUUAGCAAUAAUACUUCUUAAUGUAUAACUCUUAAUAAUCCAACUAACCUCUAAUUAUCAUUUACUUUAUAUUCAUCACAUUAUAAAUAUCAUCAUAUAACACAUAUUAACCAAAUCGUAACAAACAUAGAUCAUCACAUCAUAGUCAUAGUUCAUAUAUAGCAUAACAACAUCUUAAUCAUAAUUCAUAUACA
rnacentral:lncRNA from 1 species